GACGAACGCUGGCGGCGUGCCUAAUACAUGCAAGUUGAGCGCUGAAGGUUGGUACUUGUACCAACUGGAUGAGCAGCGAACGGGUGAGUAACGCGUGGGGAAUCUGCCUUUGAGCGGGGGACAACAUUUGGAAACGAAUGCUAAUACCGCAUAAAAACUUUAAACACAAGUUUUAAGUUUGAAAGAUGCAAUUGCAUCACUCAAAGAUGAUCCCGCGUUGUAUUAGCUAGUUGGUGAGGUAAAGGCUCACCAAGGCGAUGAUACAUAGCCGACCUGAGAGGGUGAUCGGCCACAUUGGGACUGAGACACGGCCCAAACUCCUACGGGAGGCAGCAGUAGGGAAUCUUCGGCAAUGGACGAAAGUCUGACCGAGCAAAGCCGCGUGAGUGAAGAAGGGUUUCGGAUCGUAAAACUCUGUUGGUAGAGAAGAACGUUGGUGAGAGUGGAAAGCUCAUCAAGUGACGGUAACUACCCAGAAAGGGACGGCUAACUACGUG
rnacentral:rRNA from 1 species